UUCAUUUUCAGAAACAACAAGCAUGUUUUACUGCAUGUUAUUUAAUUAUUUAUUCUAGGUUGAGCUUCUCCCUCCAAACAAUGUUUUAAUGAUGGGUUUCAUUGAGGCUUGGAUACUGAGAGCAUUUAAUAUCUGUGUUACAGAUUUGAUGUCAUCCAUGAUACUGUAUAACAGGUCAAAGGUCAUUCAAUAGGGAAUGAAUCUAAAUCUUGCUAAAGAUUCAUUAUAAAGCAGCAGGUAAAUAGAAUUAAUGUAAAUUCGAGGAACGUAUUUUGAGACUGAUUAUGAAACAAAUUAUUUUAAUCUUCAUGCAAUAACAAGUAUUAAGUAUUGAAGAAUAUUUUGUGCUUUUUUUUAUAAUAAUCCAUGAGUGAUGUUGAGAAGAGCUGCUGCUGAGUCUGAUAUCAGUGUGUGAGUCUCUUCUCUCUUUCUCUGCUGGAGUUUGUGUUUAUUUGAGUGUGACGGAGGUUUUUGUACGACGCUUUCACUAGAAUGAACUACUGUGGUACACUUUUGGUGGAGGAACUAAACUGACGAUCGCUGGUCCCGCAGUGAAGCCCUCCGUGUCUCUGCUGCCUCCCUCUUCUCUGCAGAUCUCUGGAGACUCAGCCGCACUGCUCUGCCUGCUCAGCUCUUACUCUCCACAGGGGGCGCAGGUGAGCUGGACGCUGGACGGGUCAGAGGUUCACCGAGGGGGUUCAGACCAGCGCAGAGAGCGAGCGGGACGGACGCUACAGCCGCAGCAGCGUCCUGAGCCUCAGCAAAGCACGCUGGGAAGACACAAAGCGCUUCGUCUGCAGAGUAACACAUGACGGAGCUGAUCACGAGACCUCGUUCCUCAAGAGCUCCGAGUGCUGAUGUUUCUCCAGUGAAGAGCAGCAGGAUUCACAGCAGUCUCCUGAUUUACAGCUCAAUACUCAAGCAGUCUUUCAAUGUGCUGCCAUUGCUGUUCAUUCAAUAAAGCUUCUGAACGCCUUA